rnacentral:snRNA from 1 species
ACGAAAGCCAAAGAGAUGAGCAAG